UACGUAGGCAGCGAGCGUUGUUCGGAAUUACUGGGCGUAAAGAGUGUGUAGGCGGUGCUCUAAGUUCGGUGUGAAAUCUCCCGCUUAACUGGGAGGUGCGCCGGAAACUGGAGUGCUCGAGCGUGGGAGAGGAAAGCGGAAGUUCCUGGUGUAGCGGUGAAAUGCGUAGAUAUCAGGAGGAACACCUGCGGUGUAGACGGCUUUCUGGACCAUUGCUGACGCUGAGACACGAAAGCGUGGGUAGCAAACAGG
rnacentral:rRNA from 1 species